AUUCCAUAGUUGAUAAUAUUGGUGAUGCAACAGGAAACACAGCUAAGAAUAUUUGUGAGGCAUUUCCUCAGUUAAAAUACAUAGUUUUGAACCUUCCACAAGUUAUUGCAGGGUUAACUGGAGCAACAAUUUGAGUUUUGUUAGGUGGAACAUGUUUAAAUCUGUCCUUCAAGCUGAUGCAGUUUUACUCAAGAAUUUCGGUUCCUCAAGAGGAAAUGAUGGGUGCUUCCACACUGUUUGACCAGUUUUAAGGCCAUGAGCUGAGAGCUAACUGUCAUGCAUAGCUUCAUUGAUCUUUUGAGCAAACCAAAAUGAACAUUACACGGCUUUCACCUUCCUUCAACUUAGCUGUGUUGGAGUGUUACAACUUACAAAAACGAAGCGAAAUGACAAGAUUGUGGUGGCCAUGUCAAGAGUGACAUGAUUGAUU